rnacentral:rRNA from 1 species
CGCUGGCGGCAGCCUAACACAUGCAAGUCGGACGCUCACGAGGGUUUCGGCCCUGGUGGGAGUGGCGGACGGGUGAGUAGCGCGUGGGAACCUGCCUUGGAGUGGGGGAUAACCGAGGGAAACUUCGGCUAAUACCGCAUGCGCCCCGGCGCGAGCCGGGGGAAAGAUUGAUCGCUCUAAGAGGGGCCCGCGUCGGAUUAGGUAGUUGGUGGGGUAACGGCCUACCAAGCCUGUGAUCCGUAGCUGGUCUGAGAGGAUGAUCAGCCACACUGGGACUGAGACACGGCCCAGACUCCUACGGGAGGCAGCAGUGGGGAAUAUUGGACAAUGGGCGCAAGCCUGAUCCAGCAAUGCCGCGUGAGUGAUGAAGGCCUUAGGGUUGUAAAGCUCUUUCGGCGGGGACGAUGAUGACGGUACCCGCAGAAGAAGCCCCGGCUAACUUCGUGCCAGCAGCCGCGGUAAUACGAAGGGGGCGAGCGUUGUUCGGAUUUACUGGGCGUAAAGGGCGCGUANGCGGCGGACCGAGUCGAGUGUGAAAGCCCCGGGCUC